GGAAGCGUGGCCGAGUGGUUGAAGGCGCACGACUCGAAAUCGUGUGUGCGGGCAACCGUACCGGAGGUUCGAAUCCUCUCGCUUCCGCCA
rnacentral:tRNA from 1 species